GAUGAACGCUGGCGGCGUGCCUAAUACAUGCAAGUCGAGCGAACGGACGAGAAGCUUGCUUCUCUGAUGUUAGCGGCGGACGGGUGAGUAACACGUGGAUAACCUACCUAUAAGACUGGGAUAACUUCGGGAAACCGGAGCUAAUACCGGAUGAUAUUUUGAACCGCAUGGUUCAAAAGUGAAAGACGGUCUUGCUGUCACUUAUAGAUGGAUCCGCGCUGCAUUAGCUAGUUGGUAAGGUAACGGCUUACCAAGGCAACGAUGCAUAGCCGACCUGAGAGGGUGAUCGUCCACACUGGAACUGAGACACGGUCCAGACUCCUACGGGAGGCAGCAGUAGGGAAUCUUCCGCAAUGGGCGAAAGCCUGACGGAGCAACGCCGCGUGAGUGAUGAAGGUCUUCGGAUCGUAAAACUCUGUUAUUAGGGAAGAACAUAUGUGUAAGUAACUGUGCACAUCUUGACGGUACCUAAUCAGAAAACCACGGCUAACUACGUG
rnacentral:rRNA from 1 species